rnacentral:rRNA from 1 species
AGAGUUUGAUCCUGGCUCAGAACGAACGCUGGCGGCGUGCUUAACACAUGCAAGUCGAGUGCGCGUUCCGGUAGCAAUAUCGGAAUGGCGCACGGCGCACGGGUGCGUAACACGUGGGUAAUCUGCCCUCUGAUGGGGAAUAACUCGCCGAAAGGCGAGCUAAUUCCGCAUAAGAUUCCGAGAACUUCGGUUUUUGGAUUGAAAGGCGUAAGUCGUCGGAGGAGGAGCCCGCGCCCGAUUAGCUUGUUGGUAGGGUAACGGCCUACCAAGGCUUUGAUCGGUAGCUGGUCUGAGAGGAUGGCCAGCCACACUGGAACUGAGACACGGUCCAGACUCCUACGGGAGGCAGCAGUGGGGAAUCUUGCACAAUGGGCGAAAGCCUGAUGCAGCGACGCCGCGUGGGGGAUGAAGCUUCUCGGAGUGUAAACCCCUUUCGAUCCGGACGAAUGCCUCGCAAGAGGAGUGACGGUACGGAUUAAGAGCCAGU